rnacentral:rRNA from 1 species
UCGGGAAUUUUGGGCAAUGGGCGAAAGCCUGACCCGGCAACGCCGCGUGAAGGAUGAAGUAUUUCGGUAUGUAAACUUCGAAAGAAUGGGAAGCGGUACCAUUUAUAAGUCCGGCUAACUACGUGCCAGCGCCGCGGUAAUACGUAGGGAGCAAGCGUUGUUCGGAUUUACUGGGCGUAAAGGGCGCGUAGGCGGCGCGGUAAGUCACUUGUGAAAUCUCUGAGCUUAACUCAGAACGGCCAAGUGAUACUGCAGUGCUAGAGUGCAGAAGGGGCAAUCGGAAUUCUUGGUGUAGCGGUGAAAUGCGUAGAUAUCAAGAGGAACACCUGAGGUGAAGACGGGUUGCUGGGCUGACACUGACGCUGAGCGCGAAAGCCAGGGGAGCAAACGGGAUUAGAUACCCGGGUAGU